GACGAACGCUGGCGGCGUGCCUAAUACAUGCAAGUAGAACGCCGUUUCGAACGGGUGAGUAACGCGUAGGUAACUGCCUCAUAGCGGGGGAUAACUAUUUGGAACGAUAGCUAAUACCGCCUACUGUGAGCUGGACCUGCGUUGUAUUAGCUAGGUGGUGCGGUAAAGGCUCACCAAGGCGACGAUACAUCGCCGAGCUGAGAGGGAGAACGGCCAAACUGGGACCGGGAAAAGGGCCCAGAUCCUAAGGGGGGCAGCAAGAGGGAAACAGCGGCAAAGGACGGAAGUCUGACUGAGGAACGCCGCGGGAGAGAAGAAGGGUUUCGGGGCGGAAAACUCCUUUGAGAGAGGAGCGUUACCUAACGAGAAAGGGACGGCUAACUACGUGCCAGCAGCCGCGGUAAUUC
rnacentral:rRNA from 1 species